rnacentral:rRNA from 1 species
UACGGAGGGAGCUAGCGUUGUUCGGAAUUACUGGGCGUAAAGCGCACGUAGGCGGCUACUCAAGUCGGGGGUGAAAGCCCGGGGCUCAACCCCGGAACUGCCCUCGAAACUAGGCAGCUAGAAUCUUGGAGAGGCGAGUGGAAUUCCGAGUGUAGAGGUGAAAUUCGUAGAUAUUCGGAAGAACACCAGUGGCGAAGGCGACUCGCUGGACAAGUAUUGACGCUGAGGUGCGAAAGCGUGGGGAGCAAACAGG